GGGCUCGGUUCCGGGCGCGCAGAUGAGGUUUGGGGACCAGCUCCUCACCCGCUCGGGGUCCAUGGAGACAGGACAGGUGCCCAGGUGGAGGGACAGUUUAUGAGUUUGUGGGAAAGAAACGCAGGAAAGGAAAACAGCCCGCGACAGACACUGGGAGAGGAAAACAGAAGAAAGCAAUUCGCUGGCCCGGUGAAUAGCGGACUGGGGACCCGGCUCGUUUUGGGGGCGCCCUAUGGGCGGGACGGGGCGCAGCGCUUGGGUGCCGACGGUUGCCGCAGGCCGUGCCUGCACACCUCCCCGCUCUCCAACCCUGCCCCUGCAGACCUCCUCAAUCACUUUAUUUCCGUCAGAUGGUAAACACAGGAAAAGACAAGUUUAAGAGAGAAGAAAUGGAUCCUUCUGCGGACACGUUGAGAGGGGCAUGUGUUUGUGUUUAGGCUUAACUACGAGUCUUGUCCGAACUUUUAUUUCUCAGCCGCAGUCUUGCUGUUUCCUCCAAAUCUCUUCAUCCAGAGGUCGGCCUGCUGUUCGUAAAAGCAGUUCCAAACGUACUCCUCUGCCUGACGUGAUGUGACGGCUUGCGACUGCCUGACGCGAAGGCAGAAGCCCUUCACGUGGUUCCUGAUGCUCCGUGCAGCCUCCCCCAACCCCCCGUCCUUCCUCCGGCUCUUGCGUUGCUUCCCCUAGCCGAGCCGACCUUGCUUCCCCAGGGGACCCGAGAACGUGCUCCACUCCUGAAGACGUCGGCGCCUUCACAGCACGACUUGAUCAGGGCGUUCCUUUAUCUUUCGUACUUCAGCUCAAGCAGCUUCGUCGGAGUCUUCUCUGAUCCCAGUGUGGUCCUCUGAAUACAGCUUCUUUGGUUGUAAAUUCUCACUGGAUCCUGCGCUCUCUCGUUGUCACUUACAGUAAUUUGCAAUUAUGUCUGUUUGUCUUAAGAGUUUGCCUCUCUGGACAAAUUCUGGAAUAAUCUUGCCUAAUUCCUGCAGAAAAUUCACUGGAAAUUCAGUGCAAAGAGAGAAACAAUGCGUUCCCCAUAGGGAAACAAUUAAAUGACAGUGGAUUUGUCAUCUGAAAUCAUGGAGGCCAGAAGGAGAUGGCCCAACCUUUUUCAAGUACCAAAAAAAAUACGGUAAACCCUUAAUUCUGUAUCUAGCAAAAAUGCUCUUCAGAAAUGAAGGGGAAAUAAAGGCCUUCAGAUGAAGGAAAACAGAUUUUGUCACCAGCAGGCCUAAAUUUGAAGACUGGCUAAAGGAAGUUCUACAAUUAUAAAAGA